rnacentral:rRNA from 1 species
UGGGGAAUAUUGCACAAUGGGGGAAACCCUGAUGCAGCCAUGCCGCGUGUGUGAAGAAGGCCUUCGGGUUGUAAAGCACUUUCAGGUGUGAGGAAAAGKKAGUAGUUAAUACCUGCUAACCGUGACGUUAACUACAGAAGAAGCACCGGCUAACUCCGUGCCAGCAACCGCGGUAAUACGGAGGGUGCGAGCGUUAAUCGGAAUUACUGGGCGUAAAGCGCACGCAGGCGGUUUGUUAAGCUAGAUGUGAAAGCCCCGGGCUCAACCUGGGAAGGUCAUUUAGAACUGGCAGACUAGAGUCUUGGAGAGGGGAGUGGAAUUCCAGGUGUAGCGGUGAAAUGCGUAGAUAUCUGGAGGAACAUCAGUGGCGAAGGCGACUCCCUGGCCAAAGACUGACGGUCAUGUGCGAAAGUGUGGGUAGCGAACAGGAUUAGAUACCCUGGUAGUCCACACCGUAAACGCUGUCUACUAGCUGUUGG